rnacentral:rRNA from 1 species
AGAGUUUGAUCCUGGCUCAGAUUGAACGCUGGCGGCAUGCCUUACACAUGCAAGUCGAACGGCAGCGCGGGGGGUAACUCCUGGCGGCGAGUGGCGAACGGGUGAGUAAUAUAUCGGAACGUGCCCUGGAGUGGGGGAUAACUAGUCGAAAGAUUAGCUAAUACCGCAUACGAUCUACGGAUGAAAGUGGGGGAUUCGCAAGAACCUCAUGCUCGUGGAGCGGCCGAUAUCUGAUUAGCUAGUUGGUAGGGUAAAAGCCUACCAAGGCGACGAUCAGUAGCUGGUUUGAGAGAACGACCAGCCACACUGGGACUGAGACACGGCCCAGACUCCUACGGGAGGCAGCAGUGGGGAAUUUUGGACAAUGGGGGCAACCCUGAUCCAGCAAUGCCGCGUGUGUGAAGAAGGCCUUCGGGUUGUAAA